UACGUAGGGUGCGAGCGUUUUCCGGAAUCACUGGGCGUAAAGGGCGCGUAGGCGGCCUGAUAAGUAGGGGGUGAAAUCUUGCGGCUUAACCGCAAGGCUGCCUUCUAAACUGUCAGGCUAGAGCACAGUAGAGGCAGGUGGAAUUCCCGGUGUAGCGGUGGAAUGCGUAGAGAUCGGGAAGAACAUCAGUGGCGAAGGCGGCCUGCUGGGCUGUUGCUGACGCUGAGGCGCGACAGCGUGGGGAGCAAACAGG
rnacentral:rRNA from 1 species